ACGAACGCUGGCGGCGUGCUUAACACCUGCAAGUCGAACGGAAAGGCCCCUUUGGGGGUACUCGAGUGGCGAACGGGUGAGUAACACGUGAGUAACCUGCCCUUGACUUCGGGAUAACUUCAGGAAACUGGGGCUAAUACCGGAUAGGAAUCCUUGCUGCAUGGUGGGGGUUGGAAAGCUUCGGCGGUUUUGGAUGGACUCGCGGCUUAUCAGCUUGUUGGUGGGGUAGUGGCUUACCAAGGCUUUGACGGGUAGCCGGCCUGAGAGGGCGACCGGCCACAUUGGGACUGAGAUACGGCCCAGACUCCUACGGGAGGCAGCAGUGGGGAAUAUUGCACAAUGGGCGGAAGCCUGAUGCAGCAACGCCGCGUGCGGGAUGACGGCCUUCGGGUUGUAAACCGCUUUCAGCAGGGGCGAAGCUUGUGGUGACGGUACCUGCAGAAGAAGCACCGGCUAACUACGUG
rnacentral:rRNA from 1 species